CCAGGAUCCCCCUCCCUGCAGAGGCGAAUGGCACCAGCGACCCGCGAGCAUCUUCGCUGCAUGGGGCUCCCCGGUGCUGCCCCCCCGCCUGCGCAGAGCCCGGCCGGCGGAUGGGAGCUCACCCGAUUCUUGCACAAGAUGGUGCGGUGCCGGCUGAGCAGGUGGAUCAGGGUGUAACUCCGGGGAGUUGGGAGGUGACAGCAAGACUGACAACCAGGACAGCAGGACAGCCAAAAUCUCUGCUACAAACUCAGCUGGGAUAUGGGAGGCUUGAGCCACAGGACUGCCUUCUGUGGAGAUCAAAGCAGGGAUGUGCAGGCGAAUUUCUGUCAGCCCAGCGACCAGCAAUGAAGAUGGCAACUCUGCCUGGAAGUGCUGAGGACACAACCAGCUUUGGGCUUGGUCCUUCUGGCCGAGGAAGUCUCCCGAUUAUGCAGUGGAGUGGUAACUUUGCUUUCUCAUACAGCAGGGAACAUUAUUCCAUAGCCUUUCAUCAUAUCGAGGCUUAAACAAGUUUAAGGAUAUGGUAGCAUAAGCAUUUAAUCUGUAUUACUCACUUGCUGACAUCUCAAGCGUCAGGUCCGGUUGUUUAGCAACAACCGCUGGGUUCAGAACCGGCUCAAACAUACUGCGUCCGCCGUCUCCAUUACUUCAGCAGCAGCCUGUCCUCUGAACGGCAGUCUGAGAGAGAGGGAGAGAAAGAAGGGCUGUAUUUACACACAGACACCCACCCCGACCGAAUUUCGGUUGUUUGGUUACAAAGGCCGUACGCGCUGCGGUUUUAUCCCCGACUCCAUUCCUUUGCGCAGUACCGUAGAGGGGAGGAUGCCAUUUCCAACGGCAGUGCGGUGGUAGGAACAGGGGGGGAAGAAGAAAACAGACAGUAGGUGCCACUCCCCACUUUUUUUCCUCUUUCCCAUCUCCACCUUUCUUGCCUCCCCUCGUUUUCUGCCAGAUUCCAUAGGGAAUUUCAGACUCUUACUGCAGUCGUCACAACCCCUCCUGACUCACUGAGCCUUCGCUGGCUGUAGCUGGCUCCCUUGGAGCAUCCUCGCCUCCUGCAGCGCCAGUUCCGCAGAGCAGGGGAACAACAGGAAUAGCAGCAACAACGGUGGUCCCUGCAGCAAGCUGGACAGGCAUAAAUACACACACAUAUAGGAACAGUACAAGGCAGCCGCGGAGGUAAUUCUGUACAGCCAGGAGCUGGACUAAGAAACGAUGCUCGGUUGCAUGGAAGACGGGUGGGUUGAGUCUGUUUUACUGAGUGCUGUCUGAACGGACAACCCUUUGCAUUUUUCCCCAUCGCAGCUGUGGGGUGGAGGACCCCAUUAAUUUGCGAAGCUCGUGCUUCUUCAUGGCAUUUCUCAGUCCUUUGGAAGGAGGUGCAACUGGCAGCCGGUAUACUUGCUCAGGCAUAUGCGUACUUUUUGAGUAUCUGUGUUCGGCGUAGGGAUGCAUUUGUUGUUAGUCCUUUUGCUACCAUCUUUUUGCCACAGUGAUAGUUUGAUUGUGGCUAACUGCAGGGAGGGUAAGGAGAGAGAGAUAAAAGAGGAGUUAUUUCAAUGUUAAACUUCAGCUGUAAAUCUCAUUACUCAGGAAUUGAGGUUACUGUCAGCAGGUAAAUCUGUGGGACUGGCAAGAAACAAGGCUAAGAAGGGGACACGGCAUAUUUCUGUAGGACGGUAGCGAUUUUGCGCAUAGGGAUGGUAUUGUUACUGUAUGUUAGCUGUACAUGGCUAACUGUUCCAUAAUGGUGUUCUGCGUAUUGCCACAAAAGGACUUGGGCAAGCUGUGAUUUCUUCCUCCCUCUGACACUUGUGUGUGUGACAUUGUGUCAGCUGAUUCAUUUUUGUGUCUUUUGGUUUCCUUCCUUUGUAAAGUGGGGUUUAUGAUAUCUCUCAGCCUUAGUGCGGCAUUAUGACGCAGUGUUCAUUAAUGCGUUGGGUCUGUUGGCAAAAUACAUGCAAUUUUCUUGGGAGUUUUGACUGAUCAAGGACUACAAAAUUUGGUAAAGGAAGUUAGGGAUUGCAAAUGCUCACGACAUAAAUUUAAAAGCAUUACUGUCUUACUCUUCUUUGAUAUCGAAGGAAGGCUCUCUGACUGAUGAGACAGCCACGAUCUCUUUCUGCACUUGUUUUGCCGAUGGUCAUGUUACAUCUGUGACGCAGUCCAAUUUUGCUGUUGGUUCCUGCCUGUGCUUUACGGAGUUCAGCUGAUGAGGGCACAAGCUUGAAUACGGUUAGGAACAUUAAUUUAAUAUUGAUGUUGAAGUUUGCAACCAUACCUGAAGUGGUAGGGAUAUCGGCAUCCACCUAUUUCACCACCCACAAACGGUGAAGGAAUUCGAAUGAACACAACAGCACCCCUAGCCAUUUUGUUGCUCGCAGAGUAGACUCUAAGCCUGCAGCGCUGCUGCUGCUGCUGCUGCUGUUAAUUUCCAUGUCAUACAAAUACAGCGUGGAGCUCUGUGUCAGGAGCUUUACUGAUGCUGUGAGAACCUUAAAGUCUACGAGCAAAUGUUUUUCUUUUCUUAUUUGGGAAAAUUCAUUAAAAUGUCCAAAUACCAAGUAUUCUACCUUCACUCCUCUUACAAAUCACUUCCAGACCUAUCCAGAAAAUUCGCUGCUACUGUGUAUUUUUUCUAAAACUUGUUCACGGUGUUUUCUUAAGGUUUAAUAUGGGUGUGGCUAGGGGGGGGCGCGGGUAAGAUUUAAGUCAGUUAAGUAUCUCUAUCGCUGAUGCUAAUGGACAGAGAUGUAGGCAAGAGAUACGAGUUGCCCGUAUCCUCUAUAUAUCUGUAUGUAGAUAUAGAUAGUCCCAAGCCUAGGUUGCGAAGAUGCCCUUGUUAUGGAACAAGAAGGGAGUACUCUAUUCUGUUCUCACCCACCCAAAAGUUUUGGUGCAAAGGCGGCAGUAGAAACGGCCAACGUGGGAAUCUCUCAAAAUGGUUUCAACAGCAUUCAGAGAUGCCAGUGCCGUUUAUACUGGCAUGGCUCCGAGAGAGGUACCGUGAGCUGCCUGCUGCAAGGUCAUUCCCCUGACUCACUGUCAGCGACCAGUUGGUUCAGGAACUCCCAAUCCACAUUUCUUACAACUGUGGCAGUGCUUGAGUCCUGAACCUGGAGGUGAGGCUUGAAAAUUAGUGCUACUGCAGUAGUGGGCCACUGAGUCCAAAAGUGUAGAUCCAAAAAAUCCUGCAUCUCUCAAGCGUUUUAAAAUCCCUAUCUAUAAUUUGUUUCUUGAGCUAACUACAAAAACUUUGCACUAGUUCCCUCAUCCCCUUUUUCCCCAAGACUUCCUCUGGACUGCUGGGAAUCAGGAGCGGCAUGUAUUUAAGGACUAGUCAUCAACUUACACUGUGUUCCAGAAAAAAAAAUAUGAAAAAAGUGUCUGCAUAUAUUUGCAUUUCUGUUCCUGUAGUCGUUAUCAGGUGGACUCCGCAGGCUGCUCUAAGUUCACCACCGUCUGUGAAGCUAGUGUUGUCUCCCAUGAGCUUUCAGUUUCAGGUACCUCAGCCCAAUAACUGCCUUGUCCCCUCCCAGGUUUCCACAUUUUUCUCCGGUGUUCCUAUUUGUCCAUGUCACUAGUAUUUUCAGUUGACUCAGGGCAACAUCAGCCAUGGGUAUGUUAGGGCUGGCUCUAGUCUUCUCAGCUUCAUAGGCAGCAGUGGAGUGGUUAAUGCCUCAAGGAUCUUGAGCAAAAUAACUUAUUUUGUCCCCAUCUUUGCAAUAACAAAGUUCAAUUUGGGGGCAUGUUAUCUGGCUCCUUUCGAACAGAGAGGAACGUGGGGGCCAGUGCAGGCCAAGCACGGACACGAGUGGAUCCUUCCUGCUAGCCUACCUACCUGUUUUGCUAGCCGACCUCCCCAAGCCUCCAGCCCUGGGCAGCUUCCUGCCUUGACCGUGCCUUAGCCGUUAGUAUCAUUAUUCUCUAGUUUUCAAAGGGAGAGAACCUGGCUGCUAAUCCUGAUGCCAGUGACGACUCUUCGCCUACAGGGAGGCAUAUGUGAUAGCUUGUCUGCUAAAAACUGAGCCAACACAGUGUGAUUCAGACCUUAAGCUUUCCAAGGAAGAGAGCUAUUUCUGAGUUAAGCACAUCUCUUCAGCUCCCCACACAAACACUUUAUCCAGUGCAAAUGGUGCAUAGUAGGUGUCCAUCAGCAGCCACUGGUUUUGUAUUUGGAUAUACAGCUCAAAUGCUUCUUAAACAUUGACGAUGGCUCUCAAACAUACAGUGAAGUUUCAGUGAUAGACAGAAUGACGGGAAUCCUGGGAACAGGUACAAACCAAACAGCUCACGUGCUCAGGGGAGUCAGCCAGGAGUUUGGUCAAUGCUUUUCUCCAGCUUUUUUGACAGGUCCUUGCUACUGUGGAUAGUGUUAAGAUAUGGCAGGGUACUGAAGGCAUGUUUUCAAAUGUCUGGUUUAAGGGCAGGUUAUACUUCAGUGAACAUCUGGCAGUAUUUGUUUCCUUAUGCUCUUCCCUGGCACAGGACAGUCUUUUGUCUCUUAAAUGACACAAAGAAAAAUAUGACUUCCCUUGACAUUACCUAAAGUAGUGGGAACGGUAGUGUUGGGGGAACACCAUGUUCCUGAACUGACUAUACAAAUCACAACAAUAAUCUCUCUGUGACUGCCUUCAAGAGCUGCAAUCAAUACUUUAUAUUCUAAGGUGAUGCUUAGGUACAGAAGCUAGGAACACAAAAUUACUUUUCUGGUUUCAGCUACUUUGGUGGAUAAUUUUUUUUAGCAUAGUUAGUUUUGUAAUGUGCUGUUCAGUCAAGCUGCGUAUGGCUAAAUUUGAUGAGUUUUCAGCGCUGCAACUUCCUACUGCUCUUCCAUGACCUGGGUCAUGUAAGUGCGAUGCUUUUCUUCCCCUGUGUAAGUUUGCCCAGUUUCACCUCAUCGUUCCUUGUGAAAUCUGAAAUCCUCAAUAGGAUUCAGUGGUUCAGUAGUUCCUGUGCCCUCCAAACAGGCUGUGGUUUUGCCUAGGAACUCUCAUGAAAGCAAAGGUGGAAGAAAACUGUAUGACUCCAGGCAAGUCAAAGCAAUUUCAGAUGAGCAGACGGGAAGCGGAAGAUUAGAAAUUGUAGCCCUAGUAUCUAGCACUCCUAGAAUGGUCACCAUGCUAAAACCUCUCCCUUCAGUUCAGAAUAGCUUUGGGGCAAGCAAUAGCAAAUAGCAAGUAAGUGUUAUAUUUUACUUAUCAGUCUGAAACAAAGUUCUGGAUUUAAAAAAAACAGGUCUUGUGAAUAAAUCCUAAUUAUUUUAGUGAUGUCGUGCUGUUAUGAACUAUCUCCAAGUUUCUCCAAAAGAUCUGUAAUCUGCAAAUUAAAGGUCUCUUGCACUUUUUUUAGCCUACUUUGUUAGACCCAAGCACCACAGAAAACGUGGAUCAGUACGGCAGAACCAUAAAAAGAAGGCUGGUAUGGCCCAUCACAUCACCCAGUGUGCCUGGGUCAAUGCUAGUGUUGAACUAUCUUGCCCUCAAAAUGACAUUCAUUGCAUCCAAACCACCAAUACCUGUUUGCCAAUGCUGACUGCUAGACCGUGGCUCAGCAUUGUUUAGGAGAAUCCUGGCUGGCACCAAACCGGGUGGGAAAGAGCUCUAUCGAAACUCAUCCAAAACUCCCCCAAAGCAGCAAGAGUUAACCACGCACUAGUGUGCCUUCAGUGAGGCCACCAUGCAAAGAGAAAAGGCCAAGAUGCACCUCUCAGACCUCAUCACAAGCCAAAUUUCAGCCAUCACUGACACUGCCAAUCACCUGGCCUGCGCUAAAUUAUCUGGAAAAGAGCUGCUUCUCCCUACGUUAAACAAAUGAGCAAACAAAAACCUGGCCUUCCCCUCACCCCCAAACCCUUGAACAAUUGGACCAUUUUAAAAAAAUGGGUUAGAAUGAUAGGCAGCUUGGUGACAGUUCAGCACAGUUAGACAAAUGCUAGUGAGUGCUCUGACAGAUUACCCUUAAUAGGAAUUGAAAUUAGUGACUCAAAUGUCAAGCAGGCCUGACUGUCCCAUUGCUCAAAUAGAGCUGAAUGGGACAAAAGGCUCCACAGGCUUCUCCCCGCAGCGUGCCACACUCCGGUGUUCAGACUACUUUCGGGUUUUGGGGGUGGGGGGGCAGAUAGCACAAGGGUUGCAGACCCAGAGCGCCUGGCUUUUAACUUUACUAUUUAUACUGCAAUUGUAAGGCUACGAUAGUAGGACUAAUGGAAUAGACUAUGUUCACUCAGGAAUGUGAUCUGGAGUUUUUAUUCUGGUCCUAAUCAAGCAAAAAAAAAAAAAAAAAAAAAAAAAAAAAAAAAAAAAAAAACAAACUCCAUUAUGCUUUUUUAAACUCAUGAGGGAAGUACAUGUUUUUGCUGCCCAUAAUAGCAGCAGCAUCUCUAGAGCCAUCUUCUAGUCACAGUCAUCAACUCCACUAAGCCAUGCAGCAUCUACCCUACCUUUACUCAGCCUAGGUCAGUGCUACUGCUGACACAGAAAGCGUUACACACUAAUGACUGGCUGCAAGUUAGGGCACAUUUGUCCAUACCUGACCUACGCAACACCACACAGUAACAGAACUGCACAACAAACAGAUGCAGUUACACGCUCCCCCGGGCUGAGGAAGCUUUUUUGAAACCUUAGAAGUUCACUCAAUUCCCCUUACAGGUCACCACUUGUACUGUCACACCCCUCUGUCCUGCACCUGGCCAUGGUCUGACUCAUUCCUUGACUGUGGGGAUGAUGCAUCGAGCUCAGAUUUUCUGCAUGUAAAAUGGGAAUAUUUUCUCCAGGGGAGACCAGUCUCUGACGAACCAUGAGUUUCACUCCGCGAUUUGAAAAUGGAGGAGAAAAAUUACGAUGCACACAGGGUCACGCAGAGAUCUGUUUUGCUUACUGUGGAAGCCCAAGAACUGCCUUAAUUUAUAAGCUGUAGGUUGUGAAAAAUCAGGUCUGUGACAUCCCGGCUUGCCUUGUUCCUGCAGACUAGAUUAAAGGUCUUAGGCUAGGGAGGAAGUUCCCUUUCACAGGGGAGGCAGGGAUUUCUUCCCUUUUUGCCUUUGUCUCAUGUAGAAGGUAUAAAGCAGUGUGAAGCCUGUGCAAGGCUUUGAGAUGUUCCUCUGAAAGAAGCUACAGAACAGUACUGCUACUAAAAUGUGUCUGAAAAAAGGGGAAAAAAGCAGAAUGAUAAUAUUGUACUUUUUCUAUUAUUUAUUGAAAACUCCACAACACUAUAGCUGAUAGUAUUUGCUUGUCUCCACACAUAUGUGUGUAUGUGCAUGUCCUUAUGUAGACAUUCAACACACACCAGCAAACGUUUGAGACAAGCACUGGUUUCUUUUUCUGCGUGUGUGCAUAUUAAUAGUUGAGUGCUGCAUAUCACAGCAUCUUGAACUGCGCUCUUUUUUUCUCCUCCCCUCCGCAUGCUGCCUGCCCAAGCAUGCUGUUAGGUUUGGAAAGAACAGCAUACACUGUCACAGACGUAUCCUUCAUAAAAGGUGUACCUGCAGUUUGGCAGAAAGGGCUGACACCUUCUGGCUGCUUGGAAGGAAGGGGAGCUUGUUAAGGCAUAGGACAAUCUUCAGGUAGCCUGGAGGAGGGGCAGCAGCAUCUUAAUUAUGCUGAAGUGAAACCUGGUUUUAUCAAGCUAUACAUAAUCAAUGACCAAUCAAAAUAUUGGUCUUCAACUGCUGCAUGAUAUUUCUGGAGAGGGAAGGGGAAGGUAUGCAUAGGUGUUCAGACUCAGUUCAGACUCUGGAAGUCUCACACCUCUACAGAAGCUCCCAUUUUCAGCAGCACAAACAUAAGUGACAUUUCCACCAACUGUUUUUGAAAACCCUAAUAAAGAUUUCUUUUUAC